rnacentral:rRNA from 1 species
AUUGAACGCUGGCGGCAGGCCUAACACAUGCAAGUCGAGCGGUAGAGAGAAGCUUGCUUCUCUUGAGAGCGGCGGACGGGUGAGUAAAGCCUAGGAAUCUGCCUGGUAGUGGGGGAUAACGUUCGGAAACGGACGCUAAUACCGCAUACGUCCUACGGGAGAAAGCAGGGGAUCUUCGGGCCUUGCGCUAUCAGAUGAGCCUAGGUCGGAUUAGCUAGUUGGUGAGGUAAUGGCUCACCAAGGCGACGAUCCGUAACUGGUCUGAGAGGAUGAUCAGGCACACUGGAACUGAGACACGGUCUAGACUCCUACGGGAGGCAGCAGUGGGGAAUAUUGGACAAUGGGCGAAAGCCUGAUCCAGCCAUGCCGCGUGUGUGAAGAAGGUCUUCGGAUUGUAAAGCACUUUAAGUUGGGAGGAAGGGCAUUAACCUAAUACGUUAGUGUUUUGACGUUACCGACAGAAUAAGCACCGGCUAACUCUGUACCAGCCGCCGCUGUAA